AGAUUGAACGCUGGCGGCAUGCCUUACACAUGCAAGUCGAACGGCAGCACGGGAGCAAUCCUGGUGGCGAGUGGCGAACGGGUGAGUAAUACAUCGGAACGUGCCCAAUCGUGGGGGAUAACGCAGCGAAAGCUGUGCUAAUACCGCAUAAGAUCUACGGAUGAAAGCAGGGGAUCGCAAGACCUUGCGCGAAUGGAGCGGCCGAUGGCAGAUUAGGUAGUUGGUGAGGUAAAGGCUCACCAAGCCUUCGAUCUGUAGCUGGUCUGAGAGGACGACCAGGCCACACUGGGACUGAGACACGGCCCAGACUCCUACGGGAGCAGCAGUGGGGAAUUUGGACAAUGGGCGAAAGCCUGAUCCAGCCAUGCCGCGUGCAGGAUGGAAGGCCGUUACGGUUAGUAAACUGUCUUUUAGGUACGGUAACGAAAGUCUACGUUUACUAAGUAAAGAGGUAUACGAUAGACGGUAACCGUAAGAAUAAGACACCGGCUAACUACGUACG
rnacentral:rRNA from 1 species